rnacentral:rRNA from 1 species
AUUGAACGCUGGCGGCAUGCCUUACACAUGCAAGUCGAACGGCAGCACGGGAGCAAUCCUGGUGGCGAGUGGCGAACGGGUGAGUAAUACAUCGGAACGUGCCCAGUAGUGGGGGAUAGCCCGGCGAAAGCCGGAUUAAUACCGCAUACGACCUGAGGGUGAAAGCGGGGGAUCGCAAGACCUCGCGCUAUUGGAGCGGCCGAUGUCGGAUUAGCUAGUUGGUGGGGUAAAGGCUCACCAAGGCAACGAUCCGUAGCUGGUCUGAGAGGACGACCAGCCACACUGGGACUGAGACACGGCCCAGACUCCUACGGGAGGCAGCAGUGGGGAAUUUUGGACAAUGGGAGCAAGCCUGAUCCAGCCAUGCCGCGUGCGGGAAGAAGGCCUUCGGGUUGUAAACCGCUUUUGUCAGGGAAGAAACGCUCUGGGCUAAUACCUCGGGGUAAUGACGGUACCUGAAGAAUAAGCACCGGCUAACUACGUGCCAGCCGCCGCCGUAACAC